rnacentral:rRNA from 1 species
ACUCAAAUGAAUUGACGGGAGCUCGCACAAGCGGUGGAACAUGUGGUUCAAUUCGACACAAAGCGAGGAACCUUACCAGGGCUUGAAAUCCACUUGAAGGUGUCCCGAAAGGGGUGCCGUCUUCACGACAGGUGGACAGGCGCUGCAUGGUUGUCGUCAGCUCGUGCCUUGAGGUGUUCCGUUAAGUCGGGAAACGAGCGCAACCCCCAUUGCCUGUUAUAAGUGUCAGGCGAAACUGCCCUCUUCAAGAGGGAGGAAGGUGGGGAUGACGUCAAAUCAGCAUGGCCCUCUGAUGCCCUGGGCUACACACGUGUUACAAUGGCCGGUACAAAGGGUCGCCAACCCGUAAGGGGGAGCCAAUCCCAUCAAAACCGGUCUCAGUCCGGAUUGAGGUCUGCAACCCGACCUCAUGAAGCCGGAAUCGCUAGUAAACGCAAAUCAGCCUCGUUGCGUUGAAUACGUUCUCGAGCUUUGUACACACCGCCCGU